rnacentral:lncRNA from 1 species
GGAGGUCUAUGAUCAAGAUACCAUUUAUAAACUUGAAGGUGAGAUGGUUAGCGGACCACCAGUGAAUUCUUUUCCAGGGCCUCCAAAAGAAUUAUCUACUGGCUCAACAGAUUCUGUGCCUGCUGCAGGUAGCUCCUUCCAUCCUCUUGCUAUACAUGCAGAGCAUUUUAAACCAAUAGUGUUAUUGUACCAGGGGUAGUUGUGACUACUGAUUGAGUUUUAGGGGCAACUUAAUAGCAUAAGGUGAUUUGUCUUCGGAUUUGUUUUGAAGAAUUUGGCAAUUUCAUUCUCGUGAGAAAUGUUACAGAAGUUCCUUUUCCUGCAGGCUUUACUCAACAUGCAACAAGCCACAAUGCUCCACAAUGGCCACCUGAUAGGCAAAGUGUACCAGAUCAGGAGCAUCUUGAUAAACAAAUGCUGCCCGU